rnacentral:tRNA from 2 species
GGCUCUGUGGUGAAAGUUUCAUAGUGAGUUGCAAGCUCAUUGAUGCAUGUUAAGAGUGCCAGAGUCU